GGAAGGGAUAAAUGCUGAAAGCAUAUAAGCAUGAAGCCUACUCCAAAACUAGAUAUCAUUUUCCAUUUAUGGAAGAGAGACACCUUGAAGACUACGAGGUUGAUAGGCCAGAGGUGUAAGUGUAGUAAUAUACUAAGCUGACUGGUACUAAUUAGUCGAAAAGCUUGACUUUA
rnacentral:rRNA from 1 species